rnacentral:rRNA from 1 species
UACGUAGGCAGCGAACGUUGUUCGGAGUUACUGGGCGUAAAGGGUGUGUAGGCGGUUUUCUAAGUUUGGUGUGAAAUCUCCCGCUCAACCGGGAGGGUGCGCCGAAAACUGGGAGACUAGAGUGCGGGAUGGGAGAGUAGAAUUCCUGGUGUAGCGGUGAAAUGCGUAGAUAUCAGGAGGAAUACCGGUGGUGUGGACGGCUCUCUGGACCGCCACUGACGCUGAGACACGAAAGCGUGGGUAGCAAACAGG